rnacentral:rRNA from 1 species
UACAGAGGGGGCAAGCGUUAUUCGGAAUUAUUGGGCGUAAAGGGCGCGUAGGCGGCUUUUCAAGUGACGGGUGAAAUCCCUCGGCUUAACCGAGGAACUGCCUGUCAGACUGGAAGGCUUGAGACCGGGAGAGGUGAGUGGAAUUCACAGUGUAGCGGUGAAAUGCGUAGAUAUUGGGAGGAACACCAGUGGCGAAGGCGGCUCACUGGACCGGAACUGACGCUGAGGCGCGAAAGCGUGGGGAGCAAACAGG